CCCGAAUCCUGACACAGGGAGGUAGUGACAAGAAAUAACAAUACAGGGCUACUUCUAGUCUUGUAAUUGGAAUGAGUACAACUUACAUCUCUUCACGAGGAUCAAUUGGAGGGCAAGUCUGGUGCCAGCAGCCGCGGUAAUUCCAGCUCCAAUAGCGUAUAUUAAAGUUGUUGCAGUUAAAAAGCUCGUAGUCGGAUUUCGGGGCGGGCCGAGCGGUCUGCCGAUGGGUAUGCACUGUUCGGCGCGUCCUUCUUUCCGGAGACUGCGCCUACUCUUAGCUGAGCGGGCGUGGGAGACGGAUCGUUUACUUUGAAAAAAUCAGAGUGUUUCAAGCAGGCAGCUCGCUCUUGCAUGGAUUAGCAUGGGAUAAUGAAAUAGGACUCUGGUGCUAUUUUGUUGGUUUCGAACACCGGAGUAAUGAUUAACAGGGACAGUCAGG
rnacentral:rRNA from 1 species